AUGCUGCGUUCGGCGGGUCUCUGGCACUUUUGUCGGCGACUUGGGGCGGCGAGGGUCCCAGCGGAGAACCUGGGCCGUAGGGAGGUCACCUCUGGUGUCUCUCCCCGGGGCGGCUCAUCGUCCAGAGCCCUGAAUAUCUUCGAUCGGGAUUUGAAAAGGAAACAGAAGAACUGGGCGGCCCAGCAGCCCGAGCCCACGAAGUUCGACUACCUGAAGGAGGAGGUUGGAAGUCGAAUUGCGGACCGUGUAUAUGACAUACCCAGAGAUUUCCCCCUUGCUUUGGAUCUUGGUUGUGGAAGAGGUUACAUUGCACAAUAUUUGAAUAAGGAAACUAUUGGAAAGUUUUUCCAAGCUGACAUUGCAGAAAAUGCUUUGAAGAAUUCCUUAGAAACAGAAAUUCCUACUGUCAGCGUUUUAGUUGAUGAAGAAUUCCUUCCCUUCAGAGAGAAUACAUUUGACCUGGUGGUUAGCAGUUUAAGUUUGCACUGGGUGAAUGACCUUCCUAGAGCACUUGAGCAGAUUCAUUAUAUUUUAAAACCAGAUGGAGUAUUUAUUGGUGCCAUGUUUGGAGGCGACACACUCUACGAACUUCGGUGUUCCUUACAGUUAGCAGAAACGGAAAGGGAAGGAGGAUUUUCUCCACACGUUUCUCCUUUCACUGCCGUCAGUGACCUGGGACAUCUGCUUGGGAGAGCUGGCUUUAAUACUCUGACUGUGACAGAGUCUCGCACCGUCGCUGAAGCUGGAGUACAGUGGCGCGAUGUCAGCUCACUACAACCUCUGCCUCCCUGCAACCUCCGCCUCCUGGGUUCCAGCAAUUCUCCUGCCUCAGCCUCCUAAGUAGCUGGGAUUACAGGCAUAUGCCACCACACCCAGCUAUUUUUUUGCAUUUUUAGUAGACACAGGGCUUCACUAUGUUGGCCAGGUUGGUCUCGAACUCCUGACCUCAGGUGAUCCACCCACUUGGCCUCCCAAAGUGCUGGGAUUACAGGUGUGAGCCACUGCACCUGGCCUAUUGAAAGUCUUUAUCAAUAAUAUUUAUUUUACUUAUAACAUGGGAAAAAUUUCCUUUAUAGUCUACCCUCUUGAGAGUUGUCUCCUAUAUUGCUGUGUUACCAACCUAUUAUUGAGAUGAAAAAAGAAUCUCUGGGAAUGUAAAGCCUCUAAAAAGUAUAGAAGGAGUGUAGGGUGUGGAGAGGUGUGGUGCAUAUUUUCAUGAAGUGAUGUUAAAAAAUUUAUACGAGGUCAUAUGGGUUAGUCAGCAAUAUUAAGGGACUCAAAAUUUAUUCCCAGUAGGAAAAACAUGGGAUUUCUGCUGAUCACCAGAAGAAAGUUAAAUUAUGUGAACUGUACAUGGUUUUCUAUGGUUAUAAAGAAUGAAUUUUAGAAAGAUUUCUACUAAAAAUGUUUAACCUGAUGUUAAAACGUUUAAAAGCCUGCAUUUCUAUUAUUUGGGAAAUCUAAUUCAAUAUACUAUCCAUAUUCUCUAAAAAUGAGCCUAAUGAUUCAAACUUUAAUAUAAUACGAAGAUAGUAGUAUAGAAUCUUCUUUAGUUUAUAAAAUUAGAGAGUUGCUGAUUUAAUAAAUUUAUAAGAAUGUGUUCUUGAAUCAUUAAAUUUAUCCUUUGAGGCAUAUAUUUGUUUCUGAAGUACUGUAUUAAUAUUGUGUGUUGGCCAGGCAGAGUUCACUCCUGCAAUCCCAGCACUUUGGGAGGCCUCGGUGGGAGAAUCGCUUCAGCCUAAGAUUUCGAGACCACCCUGGGCAACAUAGGAAGACCUCAUCUCUACAAAAAAAAUUAAAAAAUUAGCUGGAUAUUCCUGUAGUCCCAGCUACUUGGGAGGCUGAGGUGGGAGGACUGAGCCUGAGAGAUUGAGGCUGCAGUGAGCCAUGAUCUCACCACUACACUUCAGCCUGGUCUGUAACAUAUUUUGGAGAUUUUUUCCUACAGACAUAUAUCUACCUUAAUUGUUUAAGAACUGUACAGUAUCUCAUAGAGACACUGAUGAAAUUCAAGUUAACUAUCCUGGAAUGUUUGAAUUGAUGGAAGAUUUACAAG